rnacentral:ribozyme from 12 species
UUGGAGACAACAGGCUUGAAAUCACAAGUGACGACGCUCUGAAGAAAAUCGAGGUAGUGUGAGGCGGUCAACCCCUUGAUCUGG